GGAGCCGUGCCUGAAACCAAGGGCCACUUUGAUAGAGUGAACCAUGGAGGUUAGAGUCCUCCCGACUCCU
rnacentral:tRNA from 1 species